GAUGAACGCUAGCUACAGGCUUAACACAUGCAAGUCGAGGGGCAGCAUGAACUUAGCUUGCUAAGUUUGAUGGCGACCGGCGCACGGGUGAGUAACACGUAUCCAACCUGCCGAUGACUCGGGGAUAGCCUUUCGAAAGAAAGAUUAAUACCCGAUGGCAUAGUUCUUCCGCAUGGUAGAACUAUUAAAGAAUUUCGGUCAUCGAUGGGGAUGCGUUCCAUUAGGUUGUUGGCGGGGUAACGGCCCACCAAGCCUUCGAUGGAUAGGGGUUCUGAGAGGAAGGUCCCCCACAGUGGAACUGAGACACGGUCCAAACUCCUACGGGAGGCAGCAGUGAGGAAUAUUGGUCAAUGGACGAGAGUCUGAACCAGCCAAGUAGCGUGAAGGAUGACUGCCCUAUGGGUUGUAAACUUCUUUUAUACGGGAAUAAAGUGAGGCACGUGUGCCUUUUUGUAUGUACCGUAUGAAUAAGGAUCGGCUAACUCCGUG
rnacentral:rRNA from 1 species